rnacentral:rRNA from 1 species
GGCCUGACACAUAGCAUUCCCCAGCGGCAAAAAGGGUAGUAGCAAUACAUUCCCGCGGCGAGCGGAGAGACGGGUGAGGAAUGCGUCGGAAUCUCGCCUCUUUGUGGGGGAUAACGUAGGGAAACUUACGCUAAUACCGCAUACGACCUACGGGUGAAAGUGGGGGACCUUCGGGCCUCACGCAGAGAGAUGAGCCGACGCCGGAUUAGCUAGUUGGCGGGGUAAAGGCCCACCAAGGCGACGAUCCGUAGCUGGUCUGAGAGGAUGAUCAGCCACACUGGAACUGAGACACGGUCCAGACUCCUACGGGAGGCAGCAGUGGGGAAUAUUGGACAAUGGGCGCAAGCCUGAUCCAGCCAUGCCGCGUGUGUGAAGAAGGCCUUCGGGUUGUAAAGCACUUUUGUCCGGAAAGAAAAGCCUAGGGAUAAUACCCUUGGGUUAUGACGGUACCGGAAGAAUAAGCACCGGCUAACUUCGUGCCAGCAGCCGCGGUAAUACGAAGGGUGCAAGCGUUACUCGGAAUUACUGGGCGUCAAAGCGUGCGUAGGUGGUUCGUUAAGUCUGAUGUGAAAAGCCCUGGGCUCGACCUGGGAAUGGCAUUUGGAUACUGGCGACCUAUAGUGCGGUAUAAGGGUAGCGGAAUUCCCCGUGUAGCAAA